rnacentral:rRNA from 1 species
UGGGGAAUUUUGGACAAUGGGCGCAAGCCUGAUCCAGCAAUGCCGCGUGCAGGAUGAAGGCCUUCGGGUUGUAAACUGCUUUUGUACGGAGCGAAAAGGUCUGCCCUAAUACGGUGGGCUCAUUACGGUACCGUAAGAAUAAGCACCGGCUAACUACGUGCCAGCAGCCGCGGUAAUACGUAGGGUGCGAGCGUUAAUCGGAAUUACUGGGCGUAAAGCGUGCGCAGGCGGUUAUAUAAGACAGAUGUGAAAUCCCCGGGCUAAACCUAGGACCUGCAUUAGUGACUGUAUAGCUAGAGUACGGUAGAGGAGGAUGGAAUUCCGCGUGUAGCAGUGAAGUGCGUAGAUAAGCGGAGGAACAACGAUGGAGAAGGCAAUACCCUGGAGCUGUACAGACGCUCAUGCAAGAGAGCGUGGGGAGCAAACA